CCAUUUAGAGACCCAAUUUUCCACUUCUCUGGACCUUUUGAAGUGCUGUUCAGAAAGUGCGUGUGCCAUGGAUCAGAACAAGUGGUAAUAUGAAGGAGCAAGGUCUGGUGAAUACAGCAGGACGUGGCUGCUCACGCGAGGGGCCAAGAUGCACUCUAAGGCUUGUUAGCAGUGAUGGGGUGGCCUGGACUUCAGAUUCUUGAUGGGCCUCUAGAUGUGAAGAUGGAACCUGGAAUUAUUCUUCAGGAAGCUGCUCCUUCCCAACUGGAGAGGGCAGGAGUGCUGCUGGGCACCAGGACAUGCUCCGUGAGACUGGAGGCUGCAACCAUGGGAACUGGGCCAUGUAGAGCAAGACGUAAAUCCUUGAAAUCAUUUCAAUGGAACAUAAAUAUGGAUUUAACAUGAGGGCCACAGUUUUGGGGUGGUUGGUUCUAACUCUGGCAAUCGGGAUUUAGAGGGGAAAUUCUCCAGUGUUAAUGGCCUGCAGAUGUUCUUUGGGCUCCAGUGGAUAAAUUUUCACCACUAAUGGUUAAUUGUUUUGUCAGCAGCAGAGUUUUGUUGUAGUAUCUCCAAAUGGUUGGUAUUGGCCAUGAGUCAUCAAACAACCCCCAAAUGAGAGCCUAAUCUUGGGGUCACUUUAAGUGUCCCAUCAUACUCCGUUUAAUCAAUAAUUGCCUCACAGUGUGACAGUCAGAAUUUUCCCAUUGUCUGACAAUGGACAACCUGAUGACAAGCAGUCACUGAACUCACAUACGACUGUGAUGUCUGAUUUUAACCAUGGCUGGUGUCCUGGCCAAUGUCUAGGAGAAGGAAACAGGAUAUCAGAUAAUAGUCAUCAUGGGUGAAUCAGAGGCAAAAGAUUUAUUGCAAAUUGCAAUGAACUACUUCAUUAUAAAAUUUAGAUUAAACACUCCUCUCACAUCAUAGACAUUACUACAGAUUCUAAAUAUA